rnacentral:rRNA from 1 species
ACGUAGGUGGCGAGCGUUGUCCGGAUUUACUGGGCGUAAAGGGAGCGUAGUCGGAUUUUUAAGUGGGAUGUGAAAUACCCGGGCUCAACCUGGGUGCUGCAUUCCAAACUGGGAAUCUAGAGUGCAGGAGGGGAGAGUGGAAUUCCUAGUGUAGCGGUGAAAUGCGUAGAGAUUAGGAAGAACACCAGUGGCGAAGGCGACUCUCUGGACUGUAACUGACGCUGAGGCUCGAAAGCGUGGGGAGCGAACAGGAUUAGAUACCCUGGUAGUCCACGCCGUAAACGAUGAAUACUGGGUGUAGGGGUUUCAACACCUCUGUGCCGCCGCUAACGCAUUAAGUAUUCCGCCUGGGGAGUACGGUCGCAAGAUUA